rnacentral:misc_RNA from 1 species
UUAAGUUCAGCGGGUAUCCCUACCUGAUCCGAGGUCAAGAGUGUAAAAUGUACUUGAUGGGUACCAACAUUCAUGAUAUGAAGUGCAAAUUGUGCUGCGCUCCAAGACCAAUAUGCCGGCUGCCAAUUCCUUUAAGGCGAGUCCACACGUAAAGCGGGACAAACACCCAACACCAAGCAGAGCUUGAGGGUACAAAUGAC